GAUGGAAGAACGCAGCGAAAUGCGAUACUUGGUGUGAAUUGCAGAAUCCCGUGAACCAUCGAGUCUUUGAACGCAAGUUGCGCCCGAAGCCAUCAGGUUGAGGGCACGUCUGCCUGGGCGUCACAUAUCGUUGCCCAAUGCCUAUUGCAGUGCAAUAGGAAUUUCUAGGGCGAAUGAUGGCUUCCCGUGAGCGUUGUUGCCUCGCGGUUGGUUGAAAAUCGAGUCCUUGGUAGGGUGUGCCAUGGUAGAUGGUGGUCGAGUUAGAACGAUACCGAUCAUGUGCAUGCUCCCCAAAAUAUGGCCUCUAUGACCCACACGCGUCUUUUGACGCUCAUGACGAGACCUCAGGUCAGGCGGGGCUACCCGCUGAAUUUAAGCAUAUCAAUAAGCGGAGGA
rnacentral:misc_RNA from 1 species